GCUUAUGACACAAUAUUCAAGGGAAAAGCAGGACAUAAAAGUUGCAGAUACAGUAUGAUAAAAUUAUAUGAAAAUGGUUGUGCAUGGAAAAAAGACUGAAAGGAAACACACCAAAAUAUCCAGAGUGAUUGUGUCCUGGUACUAUGGAUGAUUUCUUUCCUACUUUUCUACAUUUGCCAAAUAGUCAAUCGGCAUACAGUUUUACAACAAAGAAAAGGCACCAAUGAUAAUAAUGAUAAUAAUAAAAAGAAUUAUAGGGCCGGGUGCGGUGGCUCACGCCUGUAAUCCCAGCACUUUGGGAGGCCGAGGAGGGCGGAUCACCUGAGGUCAGAGUUUGGAGACCAGCCGAAACCCUGUCUCUACUAAAAACAGGUUCUCAUGCUUGCGGGGUGAGGCGCUGGGACACUUCUCCCGGCACGCACGCCCCACAUGGCCUGGGCCCCGGGCGUCAGCCGCGCCCGCCUUGGAGGCGCGGUCCUCCAAGUGCGGCCCUCCAAGUGCGGUCCUCGGGGGUGGGCGGACUGAAAGGGGAGGUCCCACUCUCCCAGAUGAGCAUCUUUCUGAUCUCCCAGAUCGGAAAGAGCUGGGAUCCCCCACCCCACCUCCACCCCUGGGUUACUUAGAACUCUUGGGGCCUCGGACUUCAGGUUCAGAUCACCUGGAGUAAGGGAUGACCUCCGAGGGAUGAGGAGCCUCCGAAAGGCCUGUUUCCUUCUCCUCGCAGCCCACUCUACUUCUCUCCGGCCCGCUCCAACAC
rnacentral:lncRNA from 1 species